rnacentral:rRNA from 1 species
GAUGAACGCUGGCGGCGUGCUUAACACAUGUAAGUCGAACGAAGCACUUAAGAUUGAUUCUUCGGAUGACGUCUUUUGUGACUUAGUGGCGGACGGGUGAGUAACGCGUGGGUAACCUGCCUCACACAGGGGGAUAACAGUUAGAAAUGACUGCUAAUACCGCAUAACCCGAUAGGAUCGCAUGAUCCAGACGGAAAAGAUUUAUCGGUGUGAGAUGGACCCGCGUCUGAUUAGCUAGUUGGUGAGGUAACGGCCCACCAAGGCGACGAUCAGUAGCCGGCCUGAGAGGGUGAACGGCCACAUUGGGACUGAGACACGGCCCAAACUCCUACGGGAGGCAGCAGUGGGGAAUAUUGCACAAUGGGGGAAACCCUGAUGCAGCGACGCCGCGUGAGUGAAGAAGUAUUUCGGUAUGUAAAGCUCUAUCAGCAGGGAAGAAAAUGACGGUACCUGACUAAGAAGCCCCGGCUAACUACGUG